CCAGUGCUACAACCGCACAGAACAGGUUUGGAUAAACUCUUGAGAGAGUACCUGAAUGGCGAGUCUGAGUUAAUUA
rnacentral:sRNA from 1 species